rnacentral:SRP_RNA from 1 species
GCUGGGCUUGGUAACACGAGCUUGUAACCCAAGUGGGAGCAUUAAGAUGGUGGAACAGUUGGGCUAGCCUUGAAGGCUGGGCUGGGGUUGCUAUCUACUGGCCUGCCUGUUCCAAGUGGUGAGUUGUGUGGUGGAGUCUCUGCGAAGGCAGAGGCUUGACUGUCCUUAGAUCGGAGGGCACUGCGUGAGGCUGGCUUAACAGAGCAGCGAUAACCUCCUCCUCAUUGUGGUGGAAGGAUAACUGGCCGGUGUAACCUCUGUCCACCAGUGCCUGAUGGGCUGCCCAAGUGAACCACCAUCUUU